rnacentral:rRNA from 1 species
GAUGAACGCUGGCGGCAUGCCUUACACAUGCAAGUCGAACGGUAACAGGUCUUCGGAUGCUGACGAGUGGCGAACGGGUGAGUAAUACAUCGGAACGUGCCUAGUAGUGGGGGAUAACUACUCGAAAGAGUGGCUAAUACCGCAUGAGAUCUACGGAUGAAAGCAGGGGAUCGCAAGACCUUGUGCUACUAGAGCGGCCGAUGGCAGAUUAGGUAGUUGGUGGGAUAAAAGCUUACCAAGCCGACGAUCUGUAGCUGGUCUGAGAGGACGAUCGGCCACACUGGGACUGAGAGACGGCCCAGACUCCUACGGGAGGCAGCAGUGGGGAAUUUUGGAACAUGGGCGAAAGCCUGAUCCAGCAAUGCCGCGUGCAGGAUGAAGGCCUUCGGGUUGUAAACUGCUUUUGUACGGAACGAAAAGCCCCGGGUUAAUACCCUGGGGUCAUGACGGUACCGUAAGAAUAAGCACCGGCUAACUACGUGCCAGCCGCCGCCGUAA